GUGCCAGCAGCCGCGGUAAUACGUAGGGUGCAAGCAUUGUCCGGAUUUAUUGGGCGUAAAGAGCUCGUAGGCGGCUUGUCACGUCGGGUGUGAAAACUCGGGGCUCAACCCCGAGCCUGCACUCGAUACGGGCUAGCUAGAGUGUUGCAGGGGAGACUGGAAUUCCUGGUGUAGCGGUGAAAUGCGCAGAUAUCAGGAGGAACACCGGUGGCGAAGGCGGGUCUCUGGGCAACUACUGACGCUGAGGAGCGAAAGCGUGGGGAGCGAACAGGAUUAGAUACCCCCGUAGUCC
rnacentral:rRNA from 1 species